GUUUUAUUCCUUUUCAAUUUUCAAUUUGUGCUUAUCAACUUUGCUAAUGGAUGUUUGGUAAGAUUCUUUUAUGAAAAAUCGUGUUCUUACAAAUCAAAGACAUGGGUAUUUGGAACUUCAUUUGGUUUCAUGUUUAACUAAAUUUUUCAAAAUUUCUUAACACGAAAUAUCCUUGAAAUGUUUCAGCUUGCUGGGUCAUAGUUGCCGGGAGGGAAACAACAUAAAAAUUCUUUUCAUUUUUUUUGUUGAAUUUUCUGCACCAAUCUUCUUUGCCAUAGUUUGAUGUGAAUGCAUGUUUUAUCUCCUUUCUUUGUUGUUAAUGUUUCCUCUAUCUCCAUGUUCUGGAAUUGAACAUCACCAUUUUAUCCAAACCAUUUAUACGUUCCUAAGAUUGGAAAUUUGGAAUGUUUUCCGUGAGUUCGAUAAACCUUGCCUAUACACUUUCUCCAGCUUCUCCCUGUUUUGCUAACUUUGUACUCAACAAUGAAUUUUUCUGAAAUCUUACAUUUACACUGUCCUCACUCCUAUCAUAUUGUACAGUGUGUGAUUUCAAAUUUUUAGAUGAUUUUGGGAGUAAAAAAAUGUUACGCAGUUGCAAAAUAUGAAGUCUUGAAUUGAUUCCUCUGACACUAUCGGGUACCCGUUUGCUAAAAUGUCCCAAUGAGAUUACAUUUUUGAAACAUUGAAUGAGGUUUAAGUUCAUGAACAGAUUUAUCUUAGUUUCCUGUUUUAAACCUUGAAAUUGAUUUUUAGUCAGUAGAAAUGAUUUAUAACCAAAUGUCCCUUUCAACUUUAGCCCUUUCCUUGAUUACUCAUUUUGGACGCUGCUCACACUUCCUUAAAUCUUAUUUUUAUGAUUUCUGUGUAGAAAAUGAAACUUAGUUGUCUUAUGACAACUUAUGAUUUCGUUGACUGAGCAUAUGGCUUGAUAACUUGCAUAACGACAAGUUAGUUUCACUUUGUAAUGGAAUUUGUCUUCGAUGAACUUGUACCAGCUUGAGUGUUUUUCUCAUGCUAUUCCACUGAUAAUUCCCCUCUCUCUGCAACGAAGACUGGUUUCUUUCUUUUUAUUCAAAUGCAAGAUUUUCCCGUUAUUCAUUUUAGACUUGUAACAAGUGCUUUACUCUCUUAAAUACACGUUUGGGCCCAUCUUUACUAGCUUCACUUGUACCUAUUGAUUUAGAAUUUCAUUGACGCAUAUGAACUGAUGUAUUUUCUGGUUGAACAAAGUUUGAUAAUGAUUGUGUUUUGUUUAAGGAACUAGCUUACUGGUAAGGUUAAAACUGCCGUACUUAGACUUGUGUUGUUUAAUCGCUUGAUUUCGGAGCUAUCGGAUUGCAUCGAAAUGCAUGUAAGCAUUUACAUUUUGUCGUUUUAUUACGAUGGGAAGCUAGGCGACUCUACUUUAGGAACAUCGGGCCUAAGUGGCACCCCACCACCUCGGUGGCUACCCGGAAGAUCGUUGCGGCAACGAUGGCUGGUAACCAGAACUACCCUGACGGUGGCUAUGGCCAUGCGAAUAGUAGAAGUACGAAGAGAAGUUGCCGCAGUAAGCCGGGCAGAGCUUACGGAAGCCUUUUAGCGCUGAAAGUUAGUAUUUUGUUAAACUUAUGAUAUCGUAUAUCACGGGGUUAUGUGGGUAAUUUCUUGCUUUGGUCCCAUGUCAUUUUGUUGUGUUUAAGCUGGGAUCCUGUACAAAGCCUUUAAGUUGUUUGUAAAUGAUAAAUCUGGUAGAGUGCCGAUGGGUCUGACCUUGGGCGUAUAUAAUUAGUUUAAUCUCUUUUACUAUCUGAAACGUGUUAAACCAUCUUUUAUGUAUAAAACUAUCUUAUGGAUUUCCAUUCAUGAAUUUCCAAUUCAUGGCUUUUCUUUCAUA